GCCCCUCCCCCGUCACGGGACUCAUAGCCCGGCCUCUUUGUUUAAUUGGAGAUUUCAUUAAUUGAUUCACAAUUUCUUUGUUGUAUCCAGAUGCGGAUAAUUGAUCGCAAUUGCGAAAUUCCUCAUGAAGGACCUUUCUGUGAUCUGAUGUAGAGUGACCCGGAAGAGAUAGAGACAUGGGGUGUUAGUCCCCGUGGAGCAGGUUGGCUUUUUGGCUCACGGGUGACAACAGAGUUCAACCAUGUUAAGAAUCUUGAGUUAGUUUGCCGGGCUCAUCAACUAGUCCAGGAAGGCCUAAAAUACAUAUUCCAAGACAAGGGUCUUGUAACUGUGUGGUCUGCACCUAAUUAUUGUUACAGAUGUGGCAACGUUGCUUCUAUACUGAGCUUCGGCGAAAAUAUGGUAGGUCAUUCGGUAUUUCUAUGUCUUAUGGACUUCAUCUUGUCUAGUUCAGUUACUAUCUUCAACCUGCAAUAAUCUGCUAUAGAUAUUUCAUUUGCCUUCAAAACCUCAAAGAAAUUGUUCCGCUCAUGCUUUGAAUCCUUUGAUAGGUGUCAGUGGAAACUUUUACGGCUAAUAUCAGUGAGAUGUACAGUAGCAAUGCGAGGGCCUAGGACCUCAGUCCCAUAUUUUCUUUGACCUCUUUUGUACAUUGUGUUUUGUGGUUUCUAUUGUUCAGGGGCUAAAGAUCAAUCCAAUAGGUGUGUUCAUUGUUGUAGCUUCAGCUCAUAGUGCAGUCUGAUUAUCUGAUGCAAUUGAUGUUACAGGUUAAUUUAACCCGCUGUAAGAUAGAUUAUUGCGUGUGUAGCUGCCAUUGCUACUUGUUCUUUUUUCCCUUCAUCACCUAUCUGCCCCAAAGUUAAGUUCAAUCUGCUGGAAGCCUGGAACGUGUCAACACAUGGAGGAAGAGGAAGGGGAACCGAAAGAAUACUAGAAGCUGUCAACUAGCAUUGCCUUGUGCAGAUCAGAGUCUCCAAGGCAGGGCCAUUGUAUGAUUGUAUCUUUCUCAUCAUUCAACUCAGGAACCUUAAUUUAAACCAUUUUAAACCUAACUCUGUUGAUGCAGUUAAAUUUUGCGAUGAAUGGCGAACAUUCUGAGUUCUUUGA